AGUGAACGCUGGCGGUAGGCCUAACACAUGCAAGUCGAACGGCAGCACAGUUAGCUCUUGCUCUUACGGUUGGCGAGUGGCGGACGGGUGAGGAAUACAUCGGAAUCUACUUUUUCGUGGGUGAUAACGUAGGGAAACCUCUGCUACUACCGCAUACGUCCUACCGGUUAAAUCAGUGGUUCUUCGGCCCUUUCGUGUUUCAAUGCGCCGAUGUCGGAUUAGCUAGUUGGCGGGGUAAAGGCCCACCAAGGCGACGAUCCGUAGCUGGUCUGAGAGGAUGAUCAGCCACACUGGAACUGAGACACGGUCCAGACUCCUACGGGAGGCAGCAGUGGGGAAUAUUGGACAAUGGGCGCAAGCCUGAUCCAGCCAUACCGCGUGGGUGAAGAAGGCCUUCGGGUUGUAAAGCCCUUUUGUUGGGAAAGAAAAGCAGCAGGUUAAUACCCGCUGUUCUGACGGUACCCAAAGAAUAAGCACCGGCUAACUUCGUG
rnacentral:rRNA from 1 species